GCAGUGGUGGCUCAGUGGUAGAGUUCUUGUUUACCAUGUGAGAGACCAAGGUUCAAUUCCUACCCAAUGCA
rnacentral:tRNA from 1 species